CGGGGCGUGGCGCAGUCCGGUAGCGCACUUGAAUGGGGUUCAAGUGGUCGCUGGUUCGAAUCCAGUCGCCCCGACCA
rnacentral:tRNA from 3 species